GAUGAACGCUAGCGGCAGGCCUAAUACAUGCAAGUCGAACGGUAACAUGAGUAGCAAUACUUGAUGACGAGUGGCGCACGGGUGCGUAACACGUAUGUAAUCUUCCCACAACUGGGGGAUAGCCCGGAGAAAUCCGGAUUAAUACCCCAUAACCCAGCGAGGUGGCAUCACCUUUCUGGUAAAUCUCCGGAGGUUGUGGAUGAACAUGCGUCCGAUUAGCUAGUUGGCGGGGUAACGGCCCACCAAGGCUACGAUCGGUAGGGGUACUGAGAGGUUAAACCCCCACACUGGUACUGAGACACGGACCAGACUCCUACGGGAGGCAGCAGUAAGGAAGAUUGGACAAUGGAGGCAACUCUGAUCCAGCCAUACCGCGUGAAGGAUGAAGGCGCUAUGCGCUGUAAACUUCUUUUGAACGGGAAAAAACCCCUUUACGUGUAAAGGGUUGAUUGUACCGUUAGAAUAAGGGUCGGCUAACUUCGUGCCAGCAGCCGCAGUAACAC
rnacentral:rRNA from 1 species